rnacentral:rRNA from 1 species
AGGGAAUCUUCCACAAUGGACGCAAGUCUGAUGGAGCAACGCCGCGUGAGUGAAGAAGGGUUUCGGCUCGUAAAGCUCUGUUGUUAAAGAAGAACGUGGGUAAGAGUAACUGUUUACCCAGUGACGGUAUUUAACCAGAAAGCCACGGCUAACUACGUGCCAGCAGCCGCGGUAAUACGUAGGUGGCAAGCGUUAUCCGGAUUUAUUGGGCGUAAAGCGAGCGCAGGCGGUCUUUUAAGUCUAAUGUGAAAGCCUUCGGCUCAACCGAAGAAGUGCAUUGGAAACUGGGAGACUUGAGUGCAGAAGAGGACAGUGGAACUCCAUGUGUAGCGGUGAAAUGCGUAGAUAUAUGGAAGAACACCAGUGGCGAAGGCGGCUGUCUGGUCUGCAACUGACGCUGAGGCUCGAAAGCAUGGGUAGCGAAC